GAACCGGAAGUUACGGUCUUCUUCAUGUGUUGCACUUGGAAGUUUCCAAGUUUUUUUUAUAUACUGUCUAUGGACGUUUCCCGCAAUUUGGAAAACAGUUAGACGAGGCCUGGAAAACAUCAAUUAUGCAGUGAUUGUAAGUUAAUGACUCAGUAUUUCUUAAGUAAUUUCGUAUUGACACCAUGGCCGCACUGGAACCAUAUGCUGAUUUAAUUAAAGAUUUAUUUGAAACUGGCAAGACACAUGUAGAGAUUUCCACAACGCUGCAGCAGAUGGGUGUCCAGCGAUGUUCUGAAAUAAGUGUGAGAAGAUUCUGUGUUCAGCACAACCUUAAGCGAAAAAGACAUGUAUCGGACACAGAACUGGAGAGGGCUGUGGUUGGAUCAAUAUAUGAAGUAAGUUUUUUUUUUUAGGUUUUCACAUUUUAUAUCCUGCCCGUCUUUCAAAUGUUGUAGCGAAUAACUGUAUUUUUCUUAACAGACGGGCCCAUCUUAUGGCCGCAAGUUCAUGACUGGAUAUCUGUCUUCAAUGGGAGUGCAUGCAGGAGAAUGUCGAGUUGGGAAAAUCCUCAGAGAGAUUCAUCAGCCAUACCACGAAUUCCGACGUCAGGGUGCUCGUAAUCUAAAUCCCAUCCCGUAUCAUGCGGAAUAUAUGGGCCAUAAAAUUCACAUGGACCAAAACGAGAAGCUUGUGAUGUUUGGAGUGACACACGUCGUGGCAGUUGAUGGCUACAGCGGCAAAAUUGUUGCCAAUGCCACCAUGCCAGUGAAAAACAACCUUGUGAUUUAUGAGGAAGUUUACAGAUCUGCAGUGGUUAACCAUGGGAUGUGGGACCAACUCAGGGUCGACCAUGGCAGGGAGUUUUACAUGUGCUUGUACAUGCAAGAGAUGAGGUUUUUGUAAUACGGACUAACAGUACAACUAAUAUAAUCAAAUGCUUUUUU
rnacentral:lncRNA from 1 species